rnacentral:rRNA from 1 species
GCAUAACGCGAAGAACCUUACCUAGGCUUGACAUGUGACUGCACGACCGGUGAAAGCCGGUCUCCUUCGAGGGUGUCACACAGGUGCUGCAUGGCUGUCGUCAGUUCGUGCCGUGAGGUGUUUGGUUAAGUCCACCAACGAACGCAACCCCUGCGUCCAGUUGCCAUCGGGUCAUGCCGGGAACUCUGGACGGACCGCCCCUUCAAACGGGAGGAAGGUGGGGAUGACGUCAAGUCAGUAUGGCCCUUACGCCUAGGGCUGCACACGUGCUACAAUGGCCGGUACAGAGGGACGCGAGACCGCGAGGUGGAGCAAACCCCCAAAACCGGCCCCAGUUCAGAUUGGAGUCUGCAACCCGACUCCAUGAAGUUGGAUUCGCUAGUAACGGCGCAUCAGCAUUCGGCGCCGUGAAUACGUUCCCGGGUCUUGUACACACCG